GCUAAAUUUAGUGCCGCUUUGGUCUUUACAAGUUUUCUCAUUUUGUAUGUAAGAGUAACCUUAUUUCCUUGGCGGCAGAAAUCU
rfam:Capsella rubella cultivar Monte Gargano unplaced genomic scaffold scaffold_2, whole genome shotgun sequence.